rnacentral:lncRNA from 1 species
UACAGGUCAAGUCCACAUUAGGACACCAGGCCCAACAAGGCCAGGUAUAUAAACCUCUGCUGUACAAUUAGGGGCUGUGCCCCAGAGAUACUGCUGAGGGUCCCUCAGGCAGCCUGUGGUCGACCCAGGUUGGGACAGUCCGUAGAAUCUUGUUUUGUUUUUUUAAUGUGUACGGGUUUUUGCUUGCAUACGUGUCUGCACCAUGUAUAUGCCUGGUGCCUGUGGAGUUGGAAGAAAUCUUCAGAUCCCCUAAGACUGGAGUUAAGAUGGUUGUGAGCCAACAAACCUUCAUCUCUCCAUCCUUGCAUUCUGUGGGUUGCAAAGCCAUGGGGUGGUAGGGAGGGGCAGAGGAGCAAGAUUGGGGUAGAGCAUAGCCAAACCCCAAGCCUGCAUGUCCCAGCACUUAGCCUGUACCCCCACCAUUGCCCCCCGGAGGAGGUCAUGUAGUCCAAUGGCCGUGUUAAACUCCCUCUCCCCUUAAAAGGUCAUGUCCAGCAGCACUUGAAUUUCAUUCUUAUGCAGAUGAGGUAUCCUCAGAAUUCACAGGUUGUGAGGUUGCAGUUGCAGGUGAUCUGCUGCUACAGGUAGGGAAGCAGAGCCUGAACAGCAGCAUCCCUGUUCCCAGCCUCCAUGUCCCCUCUCAAGGCUCUGUCAACUGCUGUUCCCUGGUACCUCGAGGAGGCCGACUCACCCCUCAAUCCCACUGUACCCAAGGAAGCAGCUGGUAUACACAUUGCCUUAGUAAUGAUUUCACUGCUGUGAACAGACACCAUGACGGAGACAACUCUCAUGAGGACAACAUUUAAUUGGAGCUGGCUUAUAGGUACAGCACUGAGUCCAUUAUCAUCAAGGCAGGAACAUGGCAACCUCCAGGCAGGCGUGGAGCAGGAGGAACUGAGAGGAGACUCAUCUGGGAGAUGAAAGUCUUUCAUCUUCAUCUGAAAGCUGCUAGCAGAAUACUGCCUUCCAGGCAGCUAGGAUGAGGGUCUUAAAGGGCAUGCCCACAGUGACACACCUACUCCAACAGGGCCACACCUGCUAAUAUACGAACCACCACACACAUAUUGUGGUGAGAUGUCUCCUCACUAGGACACCAUAGCCCAUAGCCCGGGAAAUCCCACUGCUGGUAGCCUGUGUUCUCCAUGCUCCUGCACUGGAUCAGUUGUGUCUCGCCUUGGCUCCCCCUUGAAGUCAUCUGAGUUGUGUUUCGCCUUGGCUUCCCCUUGAGGUCAUCUGAUUUAGGAAGCAGGUAGGUUGUGUCUCAGGUAUCAGACAUACCCUCUCUCCUCAUCUCCACAGACAUGAUGUUCGUGUUUUCUUCUGCCUCUGCAUUCCACAGAGAGCAGAAGGGCUGGUGGAGCCAGGGGAAUCAAACCUGAGUGUUUUCCCCAGAGGUUGCUGUAGGUGGAAGAAGACUGCACUGGCUGGCCGGUGAUGAAAACCCCAAGGACCAUGCUAGCCAGACUGGCUUCCUAUGACUUUAAUGGAGAAAGACUGAAGUGGCCACACUCACUAGGCCUAGCAAGCUUACCUUUCUUCUUUUAGCGUGCUUCCCACAGCCACCAGGAGGCACUAGAGAGCCUACAAAGCCUUCAGGAGAUGGAAGGAACAUGGUGCUGCCACCUUGUGGCCAAUUUCAGGUUUGGUUAGGUGAUCUUCAUUGUCCAAAUAGAUGUCUGGGCUGAUAGCUCCAGCAUUUAAGCAUUUGGAGAUAAGUAGGAAAAAUCACAUUUCACAGGGGUCAGAACUGUCCCAGGGACCAGUGCCUGGUCUCUGUCAUGUUCACUCUAAGUCUCCUGUGGUCUGCUUUUGAGAAAGCUCUCUGUAGCCCAGGCUGGGCUGGAACCUGCCAUAUAACCUGGGAUGACCUCGAACUUGUACCUCCUCCAAUCUCCUAAGCGUUGGGAUUAUAGAUGUACAUCAUGUUGCCCAUAGUCUUGGCUGAGCAGAGUUUGGGCCUCUGUCCUCUCUUGGUUGCGACCUUGGGCAAGCCUCAUUCCUCCGGGGAACUGGCAUCAGUGAGCAUCUGUGGGGUUGGUGAGGUUGGGGUCCAGAGGUGUUUGGAAGAUGCUGCAGGCUUGUGUAUAAUCAGUGACAUCAGCUCUCUGCCUCAGAAUAACAUCCCUGUGUGUACUGGAUGGUUUUGUGUGUCACUUAGGCACAAGCUGGAGUCAUUGCAGAGAAAGGAGCCUCCCUUGAGGAAAUGCCUCCAUGAGAUCUAGCUGUAAGGUAUUUUCUCAAUUAGUGACCAAUAUGGGAGGCCCAGCCCGUCGUGGGUGAUGUCACCCCUGGGCUGGUGGACCUGAGUUCUAUAAGAAAGCAGGUUGAGCAAGCCAGUAACAUCCCUCCAUGGCCUCUGCAUCAGCUCCUGCUCCACAUUCCCACUCCAGAUUCUUGCUCCUUGAGUUCCUGUCCUGACUUCCUUUGGUGAUGAACAGCAGUAUGGAAGUGUAAGCCAAAUAAACCCUUUCCUCCC